rnacentral:rRNA from 1 species
GUUCUACCUUGACGAAUUGUAGUUUAAAGAAGUGUUUUCUGUUAGAGGAGUAGCAAAAGUUCCUUGGAAUGGGACACCAUAGAGGGUGAGAAUCCCGUAUUUGGUUAUUCUUUCUAGCUUUGUGAUACACUUUCAAAGAGUCGGAUUGUUUGGGAAUGCAGUCCAAAAUGGGUGGUAAAUUUCAUCUAAAGCUAAAUAUUGGCGAGAGACCGAUAGCGAACAAGUACCGUGAGGGAAAGAUGAAAAGAACUUUGAAAAGAGAGUUAAACAGUACGUGAAAUUGUCAAAAGGGAAGCGUUUGACACCAGUGUUGUUUUUCCGAAAAUCAAUUAAGAAGGGCUUGAUUUCGUGUUGUAUUGACCUUAUCAGCUUUCUUCACUCUUUUUCGAGUCUUUCUU